CACAUGCAAGUCGAGCGCAGUCCUUCGGGACCGAGCGGCGGACGGGUUAGUAACGCGUGGGAACAUACCCUUUUCUACGGAAUAGCCUCGGGAAACUGAGAGUAAUACCGUAUAAGCCCUUCGGGGGAAAGAUUUAUCGGGAAAGGAUUGGCCCGCGUUAGAUUAGAUAGUUGGUGGGGUAACGGCCUACCAAGUCUACGAUCUAUAGCUGGUUUUAGAGGACGAUCAGCAACACUGGGACUGAGACACGGCCCAG
rnacentral:rRNA from 1 species